GUAUAAAGUUCAGAGAGGUGUUCUCUCAGGAGCAAACUUGACAGGAAGGAACACAAUUCCUCUUGUUCCUUUGCAGAAGGUGUAGAAUCAUAAAAGCAUAUUGUCAUAGAAUCAUAGAGUCAUAGAAUCACGGAAUCAUAGAGUCCUAGAGUGAUUUGAGUUGGAAGGGACCCUUAAAGAUCAUCUUUGAAUGUUGCACUUUAAACAACCAUCAACAGUAUGAUGUUCAAUAAUGGUCAAAAAAGUCAGUCUCAAAGUGUUCAACUAUCCCAGGCCCUGAAGAGGAUGCAGAAGCCUCUAAUCUGAACCAGCAGUAAGGUACCUGACCACAGGUGUUGUACGUGUCUCUCUGUGAUCACAUAUCUGAGAACAUAAGACCACCUCUCUUGAAAUCUUCCACUGAGAGAAGAGAAAGAAAACUGAGAAAGAAAAGAGGAGGCUCUCCUCUGGGUUUCUAGGAUUGUAGGCUCUCAUGCAGCUGAUGGGCCUGCAAUGAAGUCAGAAAAUCACUUCUGAUUAUGAAGUAUGUGAAUGGUACUCUAAUAAGAGAAAACUUCAUGAUUUAUGUGACAGAGAUGACACGUACAUAAGAAAAUGCUUUCGACAAACCAGAGGCUGUAACCAGAAGAAAGCAAUUUAUAUAUUUGUGCUGGAAGUUAAUGAACCCUGUGCAAAGUGUGAGCAAAGGAGACAUGCAGCCCUAACUGAAGAUGACCCCAAUGGAAAAGAGAAGCAAUGCACAGUCUGCUGUACAGACUCUGUACAGUUGGCUCUGCUUCAAAGGGAGCAAGGAAAAGCAGAGCAGUUAAUGGUGACCUUCAAAGUUGCUCCUGUUCCUCCUCAUGAUAGAUUUUCUUGCCUACCCCAUUGGCCAUGUUAAUUCUCUGAGGGUCUGUCCAUCAAACCAAGGGAAUGUUUUGGUAGAUAAAACAUUUUUUAUAUAUAUUUUUCAAAAGAUAAAGGUCUUUUUUUUUUUUUUUUUAAUUUUUUUUUUUUUUUUUUUUUUUUUUUUCCUCCACCAGCUGCUGUUUUAACCUCACUUCACUCUUUUGAUCUAGUUUACAGCACAGCCCUCAUACUUUUUUGCUAUAGUGGAGUUGGGCUUGAAUGUGCAUCAAACAAAUUUCCUAGUGAGCAAAUGUUAAUGAAACUGUGCCUUGAAGUUCUCUAAGUGGUUAACAUAAGAAUUAAAUAAAUAAUUAAGAAAAAUUCAGAGCAGUUCUCUACCUGCAAGGAAUUUCAGUUCUUUUUCUCUUUUUUAACCCUGAGAAAGAUGCACUAUGCAUAAAAGCUAGCAUUUUCCCAUUUAUACUGCUUGUUGUAUCCUAAACUUUAGAAAAUCUUUAAGCUCAUUUCAAACCUUUGUACUCAUGUUACUCUACUGGCUUUGCAAGAGAU